CAAAUAUCUACUCCAUCUAUGACAAUCUGGCCUUUUGCAGGCUCCACAAGCCUGAACAAUGCCUGGACUAAGGUUGACUUGCCACUGCCAGUCCUUCCGACAACUCCUAUCUUUUCUCCACUCCUGAUGCUCAUCGUAAUGCCUUUCAAAAUUAGAGGUGUGUUUGGUCGAUACCUAACCUGA
rnacentral:rRNA from 1 species